rnacentral:rRNA from 1 species
AGUGAACGCUGGCGGUAGGCCUAACACAUGCAAGUCGAACGGCAGCACAGUAAGAGCUUGCUCUUACGGGUGGCGAGUGGCGGACGGGUGAGGAAUACAUCGGAAUCUACUUUUUCGUGGGGGAUAACGUAGGGAAACAUACGCUAAUACCGCAUACGACCUACGGGUGAAAGCAGGGGAUCUUCGGACCUUGCGCGAUUGAAUGAGCCGAUGUCGGAUUAGCUAGUUGGCGGGGUAAAGGCCCACCAAGGCGACGAUCCGUAGCUGGUCUGAGAGGAUGAUCAGCCACACUGGAACUGAGACACGGUCCAGACUCCUACGGGAGGCAGCAGUGGGGAAUAUUGGACAAUGGGCGCAAGCCUGAUCCAGCCAUACCGCGUGGGUGAAGAAGGCCUUCGGGUUGUAAAGCCCCUUUGUUGGGAAAGAAAAGCAGCAGGUUAAUACCCCGCUGUUCUGACGGUACCCAAAGAAUAAGCACCGGCUAACUUCGUG